rnacentral:rRNA from 1 species
AGAGUUUGAUCCUGGCUCAGGAUGAACGCUGGCGGCGUGCUUAACACAUGCAAGUCGAACGAAGCAAUAAAGUGGAAGUUUUCGGAUGGAAACUUUAUUGACUGAGUGGCGGACGGGUGAGUAACGCGUGGGUAACCUGCCUUAUACAGGGGGAUAACAGUUGGAAACGACUGCUAAUACCGCAUAAGCUUACAGUACCGCAUGGUACAGUGGGAAAAGAUUUAUCGGUAUAAGAUGGACCCGCGUCUGAUUAGCUAGUUGGUGGGGUAAUGGCCUACCAAGGCGACGAUCAGUAGCCGACUUGAGAGAGUGAUCGGCCACAUUGGGACUGAGACACGGCCCAAACUCCUACGGGAGGCAGCAGUGGGGAAUAUUGCACAAUGGGGGAAACCCUGAUGCAGCGACGCCGCGUGAGUGAAGAAGUAUUUCGGUACGUAAAGCUCUAUCAGCAAGGAAGAUAAUGACGGUACUUGACUAAGAAGCCCCGGCUAACUACGUGCCAGCAGCCGCGGUAAUACGUAGGGGGCAAGCGUUAUCCGGAUUUACUGGGUGUAAAGGGAGCGUAGGUGGCAUGAUAAGUCAGAUGUGAAAGCCCAGGGCUCAACCCUGGGACUGCAUUUGAAACUAUCAAGCUAGAGUGCAGGAGAGGUAAGUGGAAUUCCUAGUGUAGCGGUGAAAUGCGUAGAUAUUAGGAGGAACACCAGUGGCGAAGGCGGCUUACUGGACUGUAACUGACACUGAGGCUCGAAAGCGUGGGGAGCAAACAGGAUUAGAUACCCUGGUAGUCCACGCCGUAACGAUGAGUACUAGGUGUAGGAGGUAUCGACCCCUUCUGUGCCGCAGUUAACACAAUAAGUACUCCGCCCUGGGAAGUACGAUCGCAGAUUUAAAACUCAAAGG